rnacentral:rRNA from 1 species
GACGAACGCUGGCGGCGCGCCUAACACAUGCAAGUCGAACGAGAGAGGAAGAGCUUGCUUUUCCGAUCGAGUGGCGAACGGGUGAGUAACGCGUGAGGAACCUGCCUCAAAGAGGGGGACAACAGUUGGAAACGACUGCUAAUACCGCAUAAGCCCACGGCUCGGCAUCGAGCAGAGGGAAAAGGAGCAAUCCGCUUUGAGAUGGCCUCGCGUCCGAUUAGCUAGUUGGUGAGGUAACGGCCCACCAAGGCGACGAUCGGUAGCCGGACUGAGAGGUUGAACGGCCACAUUGGGACUGAGACACGGCCCAGACUCCUACGGGAGGCAGCAGUGGGGAAUAUUGCACAAUGGGGGAAACCCUGAUGCAGCGACGCCGCGUGGAGGAAGAAGGUCUUCGGAUUGUAAACUCCUGUUGUUGAGGAAGAUAAUGACG